GGCUGGUCCGAGACUAGUGAGUUAUCUCAAUUGUUCACAGUGAGUUACAUGCUGAAAUCCUUGAUCUAGGCUUUCCCCCCUUCUCACUACUGCACUUGACUAGUUUUUA
ensembl:misc_RNA Y_RNA Y RNA